rnacentral:rRNA from 1 species
UCUACGUACGUGCGCGCUUCUACUGUGUUACGUGGUGUGCUAGCGUUUCCUGGAUUUACUGUGUUCAAAGUGGUCGUAGUUGGUUUGGCUGGUCGUCUUUUAAAUUCCGGGGCUUAACUCCGGGCGUGCAGGCGAUACGGGCAUAACUUGAGUACUGUAGGGGAGACUGUAAUUCCUGGUGUAGCGGUGAAAUGCGCAGAUAUCAGGAGGAACACCGGUGGCGAAGGCGGGUCUCUGGGCAGUAACUGACGCUGAGUAUCGAAAGCAUGUGGAGCGAACAGGAUUAGAUACCCGUGUAGUC